AUGGAGUUCUUGAUGCAGCCGUUCAACAGGACUCUCAUAGAGGAAGUAAACGACAGGAGCGUACGCCUGCAGCCUCUGCAUUAUCCUAUGGUGUCGCCGCCGGGCGGCGAUUUGCCACCGGCAAGUUCCUCUAGUGCGGACGCGCAGAUCUGUGCUACGGCGGCAGUGGCGGCGGAGGCAGGGAGUGCAGAUAAGGCGCAAACAUCUGAACACUCCAUUGAGAAAAUUGAUCCAAAAACGCCUGGAUUGACAUGCAAAGUUAGGAUCGGUGCUGCUGCACCAGGCCAUGCCCCAUGCCCGGAUAGUAUGACAGCAUUGAAAAAAUCAGUCCGCGUGUUUGCUGAGGUGCCGGGUGACAAUGUCAUUGUGCCAAAAAUAGGGACCAGCUUUGGCACACUCGGACAAAAUGUAUGCAAGAGAUAG
rnacentral:rRNA from 1 species